ACGAACGCUGGCGGCGUGCUUAACACAUGCAAGUCGAACGGAAAGGCCCUGCUUUUGUGGGGUGCGCGAGUGGCGAACGGGUGAGUAACACGUGAGUAACCUGCCCUUGACUUUGGGAUAACUUCAGGAAACUGGGGCUAAUACCGGAUAGGAGCUCCUGCUGCAUGGUGGGGGUUGGAAAGUUUCGGCGGUUGGGGAUGGACUCGCGGCUUAUCAGCUUGUUGGUUGGGUAGUGGCUUACCAAGGCUUUGACGGGUAGCCGGCCUGAGAGGGUGACCGGCCACAUUGGGGCUGAGAUACGGCCCAGACUCCUACGGGAGGCAGCAGUGGGGAAUAUUGCACAAUGGGCGGAAGCCUGAUGCAGCAACGCCGCGUGCGGGAUGACGGCCUUCGGGUGGUAAACCGCUUUCGCCUGUGACGAAGCGUGAGUGACGGUAAUGGGGAAAGAAGCACCGGCUAACUACGU
rnacentral:rRNA from 1 species